AAAGGUGUAAGAAAAGUUUAUAAACAAAGUUAUCUUUGUCCCCACAGCCAGAGACAGACGUGGCAUGGGCUAAUUGCGCCAGGAAGUAGUUUAAGCUAUCUAUGCAAGACAGUGAGUACAAUUUAUUGCUGAGAGUGUAAGAACAAAUAAAUGGAACAGCACUGAGUUUGAGGAAUAUAUAUAUAUUUAUUUUUUUCUGGUAUGAAACAAGAGUUAAUGCAGUGAGAGCUGAAACUGCAUCUGGAGAUUUGUAGGAGGAACGGGGUGGUAGCAGUCAAAGACGCUGACCUUGCAUCAUGCCAAACAUCCAACUAGCCCAGCAUUGCAUCUCUGACAGUGCCCAGUGCAAAAAAAAAUGAAACUCGGAAAGGGGGGAUUGUGUUGCUGAUCCCAUAGAUCUGCUUGUUCUGUUUCUCUGAAGUAGAAGGAAGAGGCUGACACCCUGCUUUGUGGCAGAUGUUGAUGCCCGGGGAUCAGAGGUCCAUACCCUGCUGUGUGGGUGAAGAAAGACCUUGCCCUGCCAGGCUGCACACAACGACAGACAGGCCGAAACGUUCUCAUCAGUUGAGCUUGUCCACCAGAAGAAAUUAUUCUGAGCUGUGACUGUCCGGUUGCCUACAUAAUUUCUGCUACUAUAAUUGUUUUUAUGAUAGAGGACCACCACAACAGCCAGUAUUCAAGAUGCAGCUGAAUACUUCCUGCUGUAUUUACCUUUUGAAUACCGUAGCAUCCUGAUGUGGUUUUUAAUAGAAUUUUCUACAGCAACUGCUAUGUUUCUUCUUUGAGUGGUAACUUAUCUAGAUUACACCACUCUAUGUAUAGUUGUGUUUGCUUUCCAAAUUCAGUAAUUCACAAUUACCAACAUUAAAUGUCACCCGCCUCCUUAUUGCGUUGUCAUGUGCCACAAUCCUCUUACAACUCUUGUAAGAGAGCAUUUAAACAAGAGAGUGGCAACGGACCAACUUUUGUAAGCCUGUGAGGAAAGGUGCACAGGGAGCACCAGGACACUGGGAAUGUGUCUCCGCCAUUUGAUUCUAUUGAAAGUUAUCCAACAUAAGUCUUCUGUUUGGUUUGUUUGUUUUUCAAACAAGUGUCUUUGGGCCAAGAAAAAAUAAAGCAUUGCCAAUAAUAGCUUGAGGGUUUGUUCUGUUUUUACAGGAUUAAGCAGUAAGGAUGAAAUCUUGAAGGAGAGCUUAUUUAAAGUCUGACUGUGAAAGCAAUGGAAGCUAUAGGCUUCCCACAGAAAUUGUUAAUGAAUGAGAACCAAAGAACAGCAAAAGUCUUGGCUGGAGCUCAAUCAUAUGAGGUGAGCAAAUACAAAGUCCUACACAAGUAAGAUAAAAUAUCUAGUGCAUACCAAUGUAUGAGUAGCCUGAUAAUAAAACAUGGAGAAAAAUCA